rnacentral:antisense_RNA from 1 species
CCACCUCCACCCAUCAUCCCUCACAAUGCGCGGAAAACCACAGGCGGCUGUGCGCGCAGCGUCGGCUCAGCCACCGCAGCUCCUCCCCUGGGAUGAAAAAGCAAACUCUGACGUCUUGAAAGCUGGCAGCUCUCUGUAUGGAAAAUCUCUGCCCAGUGAAAAAAUGUACCGACAAGAUUACUAAGUAACACAGUCUUCUGGGAAUGCCUUAUCAAUGCCAGCUAUUUGAAGAGCACCCAAAGUCAAACUAGUGCUCCGCGCUGGCAGUCUGGAAAAGGCAGAUGUGUAAACCCAAAAGGACGGAGUUCAGAGACCUUUCAUGUUGAUGAACAAGAACACAUUCACCUGCUGUAGGGGUGGGUGUACCCCAAAACUCCACUGAUACAGAAGCUUCUGUACUCAAGACCCUUCUGGAUCUUACCCUAUGUAUCUCUUCAUCUGGCUAUUUAUUUGCAUCUUUUAAUAUAUCCUUUGUAAUAAACUAGUAAUCUAGAAAGUAAACUUUUCCUGAGCUCUGUAGGCCAUUCUAGUAAAUGAUUAAACCUGAGGAGGAGUUAUGGGAACCUUUGAUUUAUAGACAAGUUGGACAGAAGUGGUAUAUAUCCUAAUACAACAUGGGAACCUGCCGCUUAUGAUUGGCGUGUGAAAUUGGGGGAUGGGGAAGCAGUCUUGUGGGACUGAGCCCUUAGCCUGUGGGGUCUGAUGCUAUCUUCAGGUAAUAUCAGAACUGAGUUAAAUUAUAGGAUACCAGUCAGUGUCCAUUGGAGAAUUGAAUUAUUGUGAGGAAAAACCCACACAUUUGGUGGCUAAAAGUAUUGAUGUGAGUAGUAGCAUAUAGGA